GUACUCUCACACUCCCAAUGCUUUUGGAUUGGGGGCGGUGGAUUUGGGUGCUGCUGCUUUACUGUGGCUCACCUUAAAUGGAGUAGUGCACCUCUUGGUUGGACAUAGUACGGCGUGAUAAGUGUCUUCGCCGGCGCCUCACUUUGAGGGUGGCCGAUCGGGAGCUCUGUGCUUCAAACCGUCUUCGGACAAUGACUGACA
rnacentral:misc_RNA from 1 species